rnacentral:rRNA from 1 species
UGAACGCUGGCGGCGUGCCUAAUACAUGCAAGUCGAGCGAACAGACGCGGAGCUUGCUCCUCUGCCGUUAGCGGCGGACGGGUGAGUAACACGUGGAUAACCUACCUAUAAGACUGGGAUAACUUCGGGAAACCGGAGCUAAUACCGGAUAAUAUAUUGAACCGCAUGGUUCAAUAGUGAAAGACGGUUUUGCUGUCACUUAUAGAUGGAUCCGCGCCGCAUUAGCUAGUUGGUAAGGUAACGGCUUACCAAGGCGACGAUGCGUAGCCGACCUGAGAGGGUGAUCGGCCACACUGGAACUGAGACACGGUCCAGACUCCUACGGGAGGCAGCAGUAGGGAAUCUUCCGCAAUGGGCGAAAGCCUGACGGAGCAACGCCGCGUGAGUGAUGAAGGUCUUCGGAUCGUAAAACUCUGUUAUUAGGGAAGAACAAAUGUGUAAGUAACUAUGCACGUCUUGACGGUACCUAAUCAGAAAGCCACGGCUAACUACGUG